rnacentral:rRNA from 1 species
GUAGGGAAUAUUGCACAAUGGAGGAAACUCUGAUGCAGCGACGCCGCGUGAGUGAUGAAGGCCUUCGGGUCGUAAAGCUCUGUCGCAGGGUAAUAACACAAUGAAGGUACCCUGUAAGAAAGGAUCGGCUAACUUCGUGCCAGCAGCCGCGGUAAGACGAGGGAUCCUAGCGUUGUUCAGAAUCAUUGGGCGUAAAGCGGAUGUAGGUGGCUAUGUAAGUCAGAUGUGAAAGCCUGGGGCUCAACCCAAGAAGUGCAUUUGAUACUGCGUAGAUUGAGUGUCGGAGAGGUUACUAGAAUUGUUGGUGUAGUGGUGAAAUACGUAGAUAUCAACAGGAAUACCGGAGGCGAAGGCGGGUAACUGGCAGAACACUGACACUGAGAUCCGAAAGCGUGGGGAUCAAACAGGAUUAGAAACCCCGGUAGUCC